ACACUGGGGAUUGAUCGAGUAUGCGCCCUGACUGGGAAUCGAACCGUGACCUCCUGGCUCAACGCUUAACCACGGAGAGCACACUGGGCGGGCAAGAUUAAAAUGUUAAAAAUCCUCUCCCUACAUAUUUAACUAAAGUACUUCCUUUACCUCCACUCGUUAACAUUUCUUCUGCAUCUGCCUCUGACCACGUGCUGUGAUGGGUGGGGCGCAGUCUCUGUGCUCAGGGCGCACACAGCAUGUGGUAGAGACAGGUUGGCAGCGACUGACAAUACGGGGUGACACCUGCAUUGCUACAAAUGCAGCAAGACGGUUCUCCAUAUUUCCGUGAAGGGAAGCGCAGCAGAGCCGGCUGGAGGAUGUGACGUUGAUCUUGUUGUGUUUUCAGAGGUUGUGCCUGAGCCUGCUGCGUGCCCCAUAAAGGGCAAUGAAGAAUACGGUCUGUGCCUUCCCGGGACUCAUCUGUCCCCACGCCAGCACUAAACUGGCACUGCCAUUUAAAGGGCACUGUGCCUGCAGACCCGGAGGAUGGCGGCCACACCUGGUAUCUCAGUGGGACGCUGAUGGACCGGAGUGACCUUGGGCAGGUCACCUGGCUCUGUGGGUUUCCUCUCUUCCUCUGAGAAAGUAGGGGCUUUGGGGCAGAUGACAAAGCUCACAGGUGUUGUGACUAGGGAUCCGUGACAAUCUGGAACAGACCUGUGCUCAGACCUGUACUCAGCAAACUGGCCCGGACUGUCCCCACCCCACACCACAGCGCCCAUCCCACCCUCUCGUCCUUGGCCCCAGCGACACACAUCAACCGGAACACUCGGGCCUCCCCACCUCCCUGAGCAACCUGCCUGCUGAAACCUGGGAAGACCUGGUCUCAGUUACGUCCUUAUGCAACAGCCCCGCCCCCACGCUGCAUUGCUGGUGCUUUAAGAAACACAAUAUUGCCAGAAUGGAUUAUGCAGCAAAUGAUUCCAGGGAACUGAACGGACCAGUCUGGUGAGCAGCCCCGAGCACCUUCUAUAAGGCCCUGGCCUCGCUCUCCUGCUCCCCCGUCCAAGGAAGGAUGGCAAGCAGGAGUCAGGUUAGGUCACAGGACGAGGAGCCUGAACUAGCUGAAGCUGCCUGGGACCGCUCGAGCGUGUCCAUCCCUGGCCCCGCGCACUGGGCCUUAAUAACUCAAUAAUAACCGGCUUCUAGGGCACACAAAGGCUUUUGGAAAGCUGGACAUAAAGGCCACUUUGUUCUGCUCCUGCCGUUCCAGCAGACAUCCAUAGGUGUUCCCACACAGGCUGGCCGCCCGGCUGCUGCCUCCCCCCUCCCUGCGCACUGAGGGGAGCUACAGAUGGCUGAGAAGGAGAGCCACGGCCUGAAAAUCGACUCUGAGGAGAAAGCAGAAGAGACAUGGCCGUCCUGGGAAGCUGGGUGUGUUUUCUGCCAGGCCCUUCUCUUCUCCAGACUGCCGGCCCCUGCAGGGAGCCGCAUCCACUCCAUCAAAAAGUCAUCGCGGGCCCAGCGCGGCUUUCACGUUCUCUCGGCCAGAUGCUCCCCAUACAUGCGCAGGCCGUCACUGGGGGACUGGGACCGGCAGGCUUCAACGCUGGGAAGCGGGAUGUCCUCCAAGACCGUCAUGGUUUUUCAAAUCCCAUAUGGACGGUGUCUCUGUCCUUUUCCAAACUUGCUGUGGUUUCCUGUCGCCUAUGGAGUCAAGUCUCAGUCUUGAUCCCGUCAUUCAAAGUUGACUUUCAGGUUGCAAGGAACAGCAUUCAAACAAUCACCAGGAAAAGAAGGUUAAGGAGUGGCUGUAAGGCUGCACAUAGAUUUGGACCGGAGCUGGCAAGACAUCAAGUUCCAGCGUGGGCUCAGGGACUGGCUGCUCCACCCCUCGUUUCAGCCGCAUGGUCUCGCUUUUUCUUACCCCUCUGUCACUUAUACUGAGUGUGGGCUCCUCUGCUGACAUGCUUUCUGUGUCCUUGUGACUUGGGCUCGCAAAGGCUUUGGCUUGUCCUAGAUCUCCAGCCCCACCUUUGCCUCAAGGCACGUCUUUCAGCACCUGCCUGUGCUCCCAGAGCUACCAUUUUGGCUUCCCAAUUUGAGAUUCCAGGAGGGAAUCUGAUUGCCAAGGCUCAUCUUUUCACGCAGGUCCAAGUCCUAGAUCUCAGACUGCCCAGGAGGAUGCCCUUGGACCAGGUUUCUCUGGCCAAUCAACCUUGGCUGGUGGACAAGGGUCCAGUUCCAUCAGUGGGGACUGGAGUUGGGGUGUUCCCAUAGGGCAGCUCUCUGCUGCAAUGCCCUGAAAGCCCAGUUCAGGUCAUACCUCCUCUGUAUCUCUCUUCUUAAUUGCUUCCUCAUGUAUUAGGUACUUACAAUAUUGCAUUCUGAGUUACUCCUGUCUGUGACUUUGUCUGUUGUCACGCAGAUGAUAAAGAGCUUAAGUCCUGAGACUCUUAAAACAGAGGCCAAGAACUUUUGUCAAGGUCAGAUGACCACUCAACCUGAAUUCUUAGUGGCUUUUUGAUUUCAAAUAUUCUCUACUGCGGUCCCUGGAAAUUACAGAAACAUUCGAAAAAUUCCAACCUUUUAGAAGAGAUAUCUGUUUCCCAGAAUCCCUUAUAUCUGGAGGGGACACAAAAAACUCCAUGUUCCAAUUUUUGAGGUUGGAAAUGUGGCUGCCGAGUUCAUGAGGAACAGAGACCUUCUCUGAAGGUGGUGAUGGAGGGCAGCUGACAUUGGAGAGCGACGACAGAAAGAGAAUGAGUUGGACUUGGUGACUCAUUGGCUAAGGAAGAGCGUGCAAUCGAUUAACGGAGUUACCCAUGGUUUUGGCUUGAGUGAUUGAGUGGAAAAUGGGAUGGAAA